rnacentral:lncRNA from 1 species
GUUUCACUGCUGUUCUUACCGCUUUAAACUGCCUGUGACUAAAGGGUCAAGAUGGCUGUGGUCUAAAAAAAUCAUUUGCCUUAAAUAGAGAGGGAUCAAAGCACAUCUGCAUCCCAGCAGCCUGUGGAAUGAGGCCUCUGGUGGCGAGAUAAGGGCUAGGGUCCCUGUGUGAUCUGAGAAGCCUCAUUAAACAUCCUGCUGAAGAUACGAGGCUAUUCUUCUGCACAAGACUGCAGUCUAAAGUGGAGCUUUAUUCAAUUUGAGCUGUGAUCGGGUGUUUUCAGAUGGACGCUAAUUGAAAAGAUGUAUUGCUUUUGCCUUCCUCUGCUUCAUGGAGCUUCACUGGAUGCACUGGAGUUUGCUAAAACACUGUGUCCAAGCUUUGGAAGAACAAGCAAAUGGAGACCCACAGCUGCUGAGCUGUCAGUUCUCCCUCCCUCUUCUCCUCUCCUCCAGCUCCUCCUCUUCCUCUCCUUUUUACAUUCUCCCUCUCACUGA